GCACUUUCUUACUCUCCCAUCUCUUUCCUUCUUUCUUCUUCAUUUUUCUCAAGCUCUGGCUAGCUUAAGCAUCGGAGGAUCCCUCGUAGGAGCAUCUUCGAUGAGUAUCGACUUUCGUUGCAGAUUCACAAAGUUAGAAAGUGUCCUCGGUCCAAGUCCGAGCUUCAUGUCGGUGGGUGACCAACAUCAAUCUGGAGACUUGUGGCAACAACAGCUAUAAUAUAGGGUAUUGCUCUCUCUCUCCACUUAGCAGAAGGAUAGCCCAAGGAGAUAGAUCCCUAUGAGUCCCC
rnacentral:lncRNA from 1 species